rnacentral:rRNA from 1 species
AGCAGCCGCGGUAAUUCCAGCUCCAAUAGCGUAUAUUAAAGUUGUUGCAGUUAAAAGCUCGUAGUUGAAUUUCGGGGUCAGUAGGUUGGUCGUGCCACUGGUAUGCACUGGUCUCACUGAUUCCUCCUUCCUGAUGAACCGUAAUGCCAUUAAUUUGGUGUUGCAGGGAAUCUGGACUGUUACUUUGAAAAAAUUAGAGUGUUUAAAGCAGGCUAACGCUUGAAUACAUUAGCAUGGAAUAAUGAAAUAGGACGAUCGAUCCUAUUUUGUUGGUUUCUAGGAUUGACGUAAUGAUUAAUAGGGAUAGUUGGGGGCAUUAGUAUUCAAUUGUCAGAGGUGAAAUUCUUGGAUUUAUUGAAGACUAACUACUGCGAAAGCAUUUGCCAAGGAUGUUUUCAUUAAUCAAGAACGAAAGUUAGGGGAUCGAAGACGAUCAGAUACCGUCGUAGUCUUAACCAUAAACUAUGCCGACUAGGGAUCGGAUGAUGUUAAUUUUUUAAUGACUCAUUC